CCGCCCGGGAACUACUAGCAACAGCUUAAAACCCAAAGGACUUGGCGGUGCUUUAGACCCACCUAGAGGAGCCUGUUCUGAAACCGAUAACCCCCGUUCAACCUCACCUUUUCUUGUUCUCCCCGCCUAUAUACCGCCGUCGUCAGCUUACCCUAUGAAGGCCCCUUAGUAAGCAUAAUUGGUAUAACCCAAAACGUCAGGUCGAGGUGUAGCGUAUGAAAAGGGAAGAAAUGGGCUACAUUCCUUAUCGCAGGAAUUACGAAAAAUACACUGAAACGUGUAUCUGAAGGAGGAUUUAGCAGUAAGCAGAAAAUAGAGCGUUCUGCUGAAACUGGCCCUGAAGCGCGCACACACCGCCCGUCACCCUCGC
rnacentral:rRNA from 1 species